rnacentral:pre_miRNA from 1 species
UACAAUAUUUUAACUCUUCGUUUUAUUUAAAAAAUUUUUGUGAUUAAUAUUUUUAUUGUUACUAGAUGGUAAAAUAUAAAUAGUAUUUUAUACCUGACUAAUUUUUUUAGCUUUUAUAUAAAUUUUUUAAAUAAGACGAAUGGUCAAAACAUUGGGUACAUAAAUC